GACACUCUUCCUCUCCUUCCCCGAUUUCUCUAUUCCUUGCGUCUUUGCCGCGGACAGCCCGAUCGCGUCGGCGCCGUACGGCCACCGAGCCUUCCUUCUUCUAUGUUGAUCGCCUGCACCCCUUUCGGUCAUCCUUCUCCCCAGAUUGCUACACCUUGCGUGGGAAGAUCUUCGACCGAAACGGGGAGAACCGAACCCUCUCUUGAUCCCACCUAUUCCGUGCCCUAGCUCCUAUUCGUUGUCGUCGACCACUCUCUUCCCCACCCGAUCGUCGGCUUGUCCUUGUGCUCUAGCAUCCAUUGUUGAUGCCAUCUAUUGCCUGGCGCCGCUGGCACUGUGGAUUCACCCGAUCGUUUCUUCUCCUCCCGUUCUUGCAUCGCUGUCGACCCCGAUGUUGUCAUCCACACCACGCCACCCAUCGUCGGUGCAGCCCCAUAGCCAUGGCUAGUGUUGCAAGUCUAGCAAGCCAACACUCUCCAGUGCUCCUCUCCCUCACGCGCCUCUGCCCUAGCCUUUGAUCGUCGCCACAUCUGUGUGUCACGGCUUCGAUCCUCAUAUUCCUCUGCUUCGGCUAACCCUCUACGUUUAGGGUUGGUGUUGGACCUUUACCCUGCUUCGAUGUGAAGCUCCCGGCUAGAAUCCCUCAAACCGCAAGCCAAGCAAGACUGUCCCGGUGAUGGUGAGAAUCAUUUGGAGGGGUGUUUGAAGUGGGAGAUCAGCAACCUCACCUUGCACUGGCUACCAAUUCUUGGCAGCCAACAUCUUCGGCUUUGGAUCAAUAGCGGUGCAUCUAGAUUUGGGUGGAGAUUUAGAGGUGAUUUUAUUUCUACAUUGGUUUGGAUUAGUAGUGAUGGAUUCUAGAAAUUGAUUUAAGUUGUAUUGGAUUGAUUAAUGGAUUGCAAAAUAUAUUUGGCAAGAUUGAAGGAUUUAUGAUGAGAUUUGAUUAGUAAUUGAUUGGUGGGAAUUAAGGAAUUGAUCGGUGGAUUAAGGACGAACUUAUUAUCUAUUUGGAUUUGGAUCAUCAUGUGGAAUUAAACAUAGUUACCUAAUCAAAUUAGGAUUGGAUUUUGGGUUUAGCUAGUUGUUUUAUAUGUGAUUAGCUAAAUUAUACAUCAUGUUAUUUGCAUGACGUUGAUUCGAGACAAGCGUCUUAACGUAGGAUUAGUUUAUCACGAUCGACAGAUAAAGGUGGGUAUUUCUUCCUUGGCCUCUUUAGCUCUUUGAACUUAGUGCAUGGUUGUUAUUGGUUGAUGAAUUAGGUUGCUUUACCUUAAAUCUGUUCAUUUUGUUAUCCUGCUUGAGAUUUAUCUGCUUGACCUUAGAGAUGAUCUGAUUAUUUCACAUACAGUCUUGGCUUUUGGAUUUCUAUACUCUGUUGUGUAUAUACAUAUAGAGUAUGCAUGAUAGUGGAUAUUUUGUUGACUGUGUUAACAUGCUGAUUAUGCAUAUGUUGUUGAGCGUACACUUGUUGGGUAUGAAUCAUAGAAGUCACCUUGUUCAUUGUCUAUUUGCAUGUUGUGUGUGUAUACAUGCCCGAUGUUUACUAUUAAAGGAACCAUGUUGAUUGUAUCUAUGCUGUAUGUGCAUACAUGUUUGAUGAGUAUUAUUGGAGAUUCAUGUCGAUUAUGCAUAUGUUAGUGAUCAUAUGUGAUUGGUGUGAUAUUAGAGGUAUCAUGUUGAUUAUACCUACGUUGUAGGGUGCGUACGUGUAUAGUGUGUAUGGGUCAGGUGUGACUAUUUAUUGUAUUUAUUAUUUAGUAGACAUCUGUUAGAUCUACACAUACCUAUAGAUAUAAGUGCUAGAUAGAUCAUUAUACUGGAGGUUUUUAUGAUGAUUGGGAUAUUGCAUUGAUGAUGCUUGUAUCGAUAUCAUGAUUGUUUAUAUUAUGUUCAUCAUUGCACUGCAUGCUGACGACCAUUGUCUCCCUUGUGGUGUGCGAGAGUCGUCAAUCAUUUUUAGUGUCGCACACUCGACUACUCAUGGGUAGUGGUAGAUGGAGUAGUUACUACUUAUCCUAUCGUACCACCCGACCACUCAGCGGGGGAGUGAUAUCCGGCAUUGUGAACAGUCAGGGACCCUGAUGUUGUGUAGUUAGAUAACUACUUAGCGAACUGUUCACCUCGGUCGCUCUAUAGUGACUAGAGGAUAGUACAAUUGUUAUGGACCCGAGCCUCUCGGCCAUAUUGGGGUUGUGGUGUCUUGAGAGAUGGCGAGGGUGACUAUGUGGCAUGCAUGCGCAUUUACAUACGAUGCGCGGUGCAUCUGUGGAGAUAUAUCUGCACAUAUAUCUUGUAGUUACUAGCUACAUAUGAUUGUGAUAUGUUGUACUUGUUUGAGAUAUGAUUGUUACAUAUGAUUACCAUGAUUCAUACAUGUUCAUUAUUAUACAUGUAUAUGUUGUCAUCUAUAUUGCUAAGGUGUUACGAGCAGAUAUGUUGUUGAUCCCUAGUGAGUUUGUUGAUCACUAUACCAUAUGUGUCGGGUGUAGUUUGGGUAUGUGCAUUUAUUAUAUCAGUUAUGACUAUGUGCAGUCGUUAUGUUAGCUAUGGUUAUAUGCAGUCGUUAUAUCAGUUAUGGUUAUGUGCAUUGAUUAUAUUAUAUAUGAUCAUGUUCUUAUUCUCUACUGAGAUUGUAUACAUUAAUCUUCAUGUUUUCUAUAAAUCAUGCAUUAUUUUGUCUAUUACCCGCUGAUUGACCUGCACUUACCACCUCAUUUAUGUAUUGUCUUUUCCUCAAGUAGCAGGUAGAUGAUUGUGGAGUCGCUUGGAGUAUCCUGUCUGAUGGUCCCACAUCACAUCUGAGGAUGGUUUCUAGUUUUGUUUCUUGUUUUACUUGCAUUACGUUUUGUGGACUUGGAUUGUAUAACUUGAUUUGUUUUUGAGUUUUGCUAUGUGAUGUCUUGUAUUUGCUUUGUUGUGGAUGUGUAAAGCCUAGCCGGCUAACAGUUUGUCAUUUUUGGUUUAUGGACUUUCCUUUCAUUUUCCAUUGUAUUUUUAGUACAGUCGUGUGAGCUAUUUAUUAUGCAACUGCAUGGUUGUGAUCAUUUUAUUUUAGUCAA